GGAGAGGUGGCUGAGUGGCUCAAAGCGUCCUCCUGCUAAGAGGAAGCGGGUAGUUAAAUACCCGCCGCAGGUUCAAAUCCUGUCCUCUCCG
rnacentral:tRNA from 1 species